AUGUUAAUGAUUUGGCAUUACAGUUUUGAUUGGCGUUUCUUUGAUUUUUGUUUUCCUGCAUAUAUGUUUGAAUCCGUCAACAUGUAUUCUAAAUCUGACAGAAAUUUUUUGGAAACUAUACCAUGUAGAUCCAUGGAUAUAGGAUGUCACUUUGGGCAGAACAUACUGAAACAGUUGAUGACUGCUUCUUGCAACUUGAGAGCCUUGAAUGCGUUCAAAAUAGUAGUUAUUAAACAUAAAAUGUCUUAA